rnacentral:rRNA from 1 species
CAUGUCUUAUUGAUAAUUAAUAUUAAGUCUGGCCUGCUCAAUGAUUGUUUUAAUUAAAUAGCCGCAGUAUUUUGACUGUGCGAAGGUAGCAUAAUCAUUUGUCUUUUAAUUGAAGGCUUGAAUGAAUGGUUUGAUGAGAAGACAACUUUCUUUAUAUAAAAUAUUGAAUUUAAUUUUUAAGUUAAAAAGCUUAAAUGUUUAAAUGGGACGAGAAGACCCUAUAGAAUUUUAUUCUUUGUUAUUUUAAUUAAUGAUUUGGUAGAUAUCUUUGUUAUUAUAAUAGGAAUUUUGUUGGGGUGACAGUGAGAUUUAUUUAACUCUCAUAAUUUAAUUAUUAAUAAUUAUUAUUUUAAAGAUCCUAUUUUAUGGAUAAUUAGAUUAAAUUACCUUAGGGAUAACAGCGUAAUUCUUUUUGAGAGUUCUUAUCGAUGAAGGAGUUUGCGACCUCGAUGUUGGAUUAAAAUUAGAUUUUAGUGCAGAAGCUAAAUUUCUAGGUCUGUUCGACCUUUAAAAUUU